rnacentral:rRNA from 1 species
AGAGUUUGAUCCUGGCUCAGGACGAACGCUGGCGGCGUGCUUAACACAUGCAAGUCGAACGCUGAAGCCUGGUGCUUGCACUGGGUGGAUGAGUGGCGAACGGGUGAGUAACACGUGAGUAACCUGCCCUGAACUUCGGGAUAAGCGCUGGAAACGGUGUCUAAUACCGGAUAUGAGCAGCUGUCGCAUGAUGGUUGUUGGAAAGACUUUGUCGGUUCUGGAUGGACUCGCGGCCUAUCAGCUUGUUGGUGAGGUAGUGGCUCACCAAGGCGACGACGGGUAGCCGGCCUGAGAGGGUGACCGGCCACACUGGGACUGAGACACGGCCCAGACUCCUACGGGAGGCAGCAGUGGGGAAUAUUGCACAAUGGGCGAAAGCCUGAUGCAGCAACGCCGCGUGAGGGAUGACGGCCUUCGGGUUGUAAACCUCUUUUAGUGGGGAAGAAGCGUAAGUGACGGUACUCACAGAAAAAGCACCGGCUAACUACGUGCCAGCAGCCGCGGUAAUACGUAGGGUGCAAGCGUUGUCCGGAAUUAUUGGGCGUAAAGAGCUCGUAGGCGGCUUGUCGCGUCUGCUGUGAAAACGCAAGGCUUAACCUUGCGCCUGCAGUGGGUACGGGCAGGCUAGAGUGCGGUAGGGGAGACUGGAAUUCCUGGUGUAGCGGUGGAAUGCGCAGAUAUCAGGAGGAACACCGGUGGCGAAGGCGGGUCUCUGGGCCGUUACUGACGCUGAGGAGCGAAAGCAUGGGGAGCGAACAGGAUUAGAUACCCUGGUAGUCCAUGCCGUAAACGUUGGGCACUAGGUGUGGGAUCCAUUCCACGGGUUCCGUGCCGCAGCUAACGCAUUAAGUGCCCCGCCUGGGGAGUACGGCCGCAAGGCUAAAACUCAAAGGAAUUGACGG